rnacentral:rRNA from 1 species
UAGGGAAUCUUCCGCAAUGGGCGAAAGCCUGCCGGAGCAACGCCGCGUGAGUGAUGAAGGUCUUCGGAUCGUAAAACUCUGUUAUUAGGGAAGAACAAAUGUGUAAGUAACUAUGCACGUCUUGACGGUACCUAAUCAGAAAGCCACGGCUAACUACGUGCCAGCAGCCGCGGUAAUAAGUAGGUGGCAAGCGUUAUCCGGAAUUAUUGGGCGUAAAGCGCGCGUAGGCGGUUUUUUAAGUCUGAUGUGAAAGCCCACGGCUCAACCGUGGAGGGUCAUUGGAGACUGGAAAACUUGAGUGCAGAAGAGGAAAGUGGAAUUCCAUGUGUAGCGGUGAAAUGCGCAGAGAUAUGGAGGAACACCAGUGGCGAAGGCGACUGUCUGGUCUGUAACUGACGCUGAUGUGCGAAAGCGUGGGGAUCAAACAGG